rnacentral:rRNA from 1 species
UACGGAGGGCGCAAGCGUUGUUCGGCAUCACUGGGCGUAAAGCGCGUGUAGGCGGCUUGGCAAGUCGGGUGUGAAAGCCCGGAGCUCAACUCCGGAACUGCAUUCGAAACUGCCUCGCUCGAGUCCCGGAGAGGGUGGUGGAAUUCCCGGUGUAGAGGUGAAAUUCGUAGAUAUCGGGAGGAACACCAGUGGCGAAGGCGGCCACCUGGACGGUGACUGACGCUGAGACGCGAAAGCGUGGGGAGCAAACAGG